UAUAUUUGCGCCCUGGUAGAAAAACUGCCAAUACAUAAAAAUCAUUAAAAUUAAUAUUGGAAUG
rnacentral:ncRNA from 1 species